GACGAACGCUGGCGGCGUGCCUAACACAUGCAAGUCGAGCGGGGGGAGUUCUUCGGAACAAACCUGGCGGCGGACGGGUGAGUAACACGUGGGUAACCUGCCUCAAAGUGGGGGAUCGCCUUCCGAAAGGAAGAUUAAUACCGCAUAACCCAUGAUUUCCGCGUGGAAGUCUUGGUAAAGAUUUAUCGCUUUGAGAUGGACCCGCGGCGCAUUAGCUAGUUGGUGAGGUAACGGCUCACCAAGGCCACGAUGCGUAGCCGACCUGAGAGGGUGAUCGGCCACAUUGGAACUGAGACACGGUCCAGACUCCUACGGGAGGCAGCAGUGGGGAAUAUUGCACAAUGGGCGAAAGCCUGAUGCAGCAACGCCGCGUGAGUGAUGAAGGCCUUCGGGUUGUAAAGCUCUGUCUUUUGGGACGAUAAUGACGGUACCAAAGGAGGAAGCCACGGCUAACUACGUGCCAGCAGCCGCAGUAAGAC
rnacentral:rRNA from 1 species